AGUGAACGCUGGCGGUAGGCCUAACACAUGCAAGUCGAACGGCAGCACAGUAAGAGCUUGCUCUUACGGGUGGCGAGUGGCGGAUGGGUGAGGAAUACAUCGGAAUCUACUUUUUCGUGGGGGAUAACGUCGGGAAACUUACGCUAAUACCGCAUACGACCUACGGGUGAAAGCAGGGGAUCUUCGGACCUUGCGCGAUUGAAUGAGCCGAUGUCGUAUUAGCUAGUUGGCGGGGUAAAGGCCCACCAAGGCGACGAUCCGUAGCUGGGCUGAGAGGAUGAUCAGCCACACUGGAACUGGAACACCGACCAUACUCCUACGGGAGGCAGCAGUGGGGAAUAUUGGACAAUGGGCGCAAGCCUGAUCCAGCCAUACCGCGUGGGUGAAGAAGGCCUUCCGGUUGUAAAGCCCUUUUGUUGGGAAAGAAAAGCAGCAGGUUAAUACCCCGCUGUUCUGACGGUACCCAAAGAAUAAGCACCGGCUAACUUCGUG
rnacentral:rRNA from 1 species